rnacentral:hammerhead_ribozyme from 1 species
AUCCAGCCGACGAGUCCAAAACAGGACGAAACGCGAUUCCUCCAU